rnacentral:rRNA from 1 species
UGGGGAAUAUUGGACAAUGGGCGCAAAGCCUGAUCCAACCUAUGCCGCGUGAGUGAUGAAGGCCCUAGGGUUGUAAAGCUCUUUCACCGGUGAAGAUAAUGACGUAACCGGAGAAGAAGCCCCGGCUAACUUCGU